AAAAACCAUUUGAAAAGAAGAGUAAUCUAGGUUGAUGUUCUACAGAGAGCCCUGUUUUGGUGAGAAGGGUGGACUGAGGUUUAGAUGAAGAUGGCCUUUGAUGGGACGAUUCGAUAUUAGAGUCGUACGGUUCUUCCCGUUACAGAAGUAGAGUAUGUAUGUACUUGAUGAGAGCAUAAGUGUGCGAGCAUUUAUGAAAUAAGGUGGUAACGCGAAUUUUCGUCCUUAGU
rnacentral:ncRNA from 1 species